rnacentral:lncRNA from 1 species
AGUUUGCAGAUGAAUUAUUAUUCCAAUCAAAUUAACAAAGGAACAUUUUAUAGUGACAACCAAAAUAGCAAAUUCAUUUGGAGGAUAUCCACAGAAAUAAUCAAGGUGGUAAUGACAGUAUAAUAGUCCCAAUUAGACAAAGAAUCAGAAAUAAUGUAACUCCAUAACCCAGUGUAUUAAAAAUUUAAAAAUAUAAAUUACCCAGGGGAAAAAAAAACCUACUAAUUUUAUAAUAGAAAAAAAUUGGGAAAGUAGUCAGUCAAUUAGCAUUUUAAAGAGCCUAGUAACUGCCAGACGUUGAACUCAGCACUUUGGAUACAAAGAAAGGCAAAAGCCAGUCCCUAUCCUCCAGCAGCUCACAAUCUGGGGGAGACAACAUGCAAACAAAUACAGCAUGUACAAACAAGCUAAAUAACGGAUAAAACAGGAAAUAAACAAAAGCAGGAAGGCACUAGAACGAAGAGAAAUUGGGGAAAGUUUUCCAUAGAAGGUGGGAUUUGAGCUGGAACUUAAAAGAAUCCAAGGAAGUCAGGAAGCAAAAGCGAGAGUCAUCGAAGUUAAUAAACGGAAGUGACAAGACGGGAGAGACUGUUUUAGGAAAAUCACUUUAAAGGCUGAAAGGAAGGUGGAUGAAUACUAGCAAUAAUCCUAUGAUAUAUUCUAAAAUAAAAUCAAAAUGGACUGGUGACCUGAAUAUUAAAACCAUUUUAGCCAUAGGGGAAAGUGGGUAACAGACGACCUGUGGAGCCAUAAAGAGGAAGAGGAGUAAAGUUCGAGAGCUUCACCAGAAGAGAGCUACUCUCGACCCCCCCUUCACUGUUCAUUGGCCGGGAGAAUUUCCCUUUUCGCUGCGGAUUGGCGAGAUCUUGGCGAGACUUUGCCCGUGAAUCAUUGGUUAUUGCCUGUGGAGUUAGCGACUACGCGGCUGCUUAUUUCCUGCUUAUUGGUUCCGGGGCGAGCGGCGGUCCUGCCCCCGGAAAUCGUCAGUCACUUCCUCUUUCAGCUUCCUUCGGUGAUGGAACCGGACCGGCACCUGAUGAGUGGUCUUCUGAGGUACAGACAGGAAUUUGGAAGCAAAGCAUCCUGUGGGACUUUGCAAAACAGCAGCAGUUCCUUCUAGCAGAACAACAGCUGGUACAAACACUAGAAGAUCAGAAGACAGUCUGGGCAAGCCUGAAGCAGGAGAAAGGAAACCCUGCAAGGACUCCACAGAGAACCAGACUCCUCUGA